CCUACGGGAGGCAGCAGUGGGGAAUCUUGCACAAUGGGGGAAACCCUGAUGCAGCGAUGCCGCGUGAGUGAAGAAGGCCUUUGGGUUGUAAAACUCUUUCGUCGGGGAAGAAAAUGACUGUACCCGAAUAAGAAGGUCCGGCUAACUUCGUGCCAGCAGCCGCGGUAAUACGAAGGGACCUAGCGUAGUUCGGAAUUACUGGGCUUAAAGAGCUCGUAGGUGGUUAAAAAAGUUGAUGGUGAAAUCCCAAGGUUCAACCUUGGAACUGCCAUCAAAACUUUUUAGCUAGAGUGUGAUAGAGGUAAGUGGAAUUUCUAGUGUAGAGGUGAAAUUCGUAGAUAUUAGAAAGAACACCAAAUGCGAAGGCAACUUACUGGGUCACUACUGACACUGAGGAGCGAAAGCAUGGGUAGCGAAGAGGAUUAGAUACCCUCGUAGUCCAUGCCGUAAACGAUGUGUGCUAGACGUUGGAAAUAUAUUUUUCAGUGUCGCAGCGAAAGCGUUAAGCACACCGCCUGGGGAGUACGACCGCAAGGUUAAAACUCAAAUGAAUUGACGG
rnacentral:rRNA from 1 species